UAAUAUCUUCAGGGCAGGGUGAAAUUCUCCUACCGGUGGUAUAGCCCACGCGCCGCAAGGCAUGAUUCGGUGUAACUCCGAAGCCGACAGUAUAGUCUGGAUGAAAGAAGAUUGUA
rnacentral:ncRNA from 2 species